rnacentral:rRNA from 1 species
CAGGCGGUUUUGUAAGACAGAUGUGAAAUCCCCGGGCUUAACUGGAACUGCGUUUAUGACUGCAAGACUUGAGUGCGGCAGAGGGGGGUGGAAUUCCACGUGUAGCAGUGAAAUGCGUAGAGAUGNGGAGGAACACCGAUGGCGAAGGCAGCCCCCUGGGUCGACACUGACGCUCAUGCACGAAAGCGUGGGGGAGCAAACAGGAUUAGAUACCCUGGUAGUCCACGCCCUAAACGAUGCCAACUAGGUGUUGGGGAAGGAGACUUCCUUAGUACCGUAGCUAACGCGUGAAGUUGGCCGCCUGGGGAGUACGGUCGCAAGAUUAAAACUCAAAGGAAUUGACGGGGACCCGCACAAGCGGUGGAUGAUGUGGAUUAAUUCGAUGCAACGCGAAAAACCUUACCUACCCUUGACAUGUCCGGAAGCCUGCUGAAAGGUGGGUGUGCUCGAAAGAGAGCCGGAACACAGGUGCUGCAUGGCUGUCGUCAGUUCGUGUCGUGAGAUGUUGGGUUAAGUCCCGCAACGAGCGCAACCCUUGUCGUUAAUUGCCAUCAUUCAGUUGGGCACUUUAGCGAGACUGCCGGUGACAAACCGGAGGAAGGUGGGGAUGACGUCAAGUCCUCAUGGCCCUUAUGGGUAGGGCUUCACACGUCAUACAAUGGUCGGUACAGAGGGUUGCCAAACCGCGAGGUGGAGCCAAUCCCAGAAAGCCGAUCGUAGUCCGGAUCGUAGUCUGCAACUCGACUGCGUGAAGUCGGAAUCGCUAGUAAUCGCGGAUCAGCAUGCCGCGGUGAAUACGUUCCCGGGUCUUGUACACACCGCCCGUCACACCAUGGGAGCGGGUUUCACCAGAAGUAGGUAGUCUAACCGCAAGGAGGGCGCUUACCAC